GCUUCCUCCUCCUCCUCUUCGGUCGCCGUGGCCGCCACUGCCUCCCCCCCGGCCGCCGGCCCCACGCUCGGCUCCGCAGGCAAGCUCCUCUCAAACCUUCGGCGGCGUCCACUCGCCUUCGGAUUGGCCCGCUGCGCAGCCUCCUGCCUACAACGCAAACCGUGAACACUGCGGAGUCCAGGGCUUUGGGCAGAUAGAGGACCUUUUAUUCGCGAGGGUCGGGAGUGGGGUCCUAGGUGGGGAGAGACAAUAAAUACCGAGGAAUGUCGGGG